ACUCAAAGGAAUUGACGGGGGCCCGCACAAGCGGUGGAGCAUGUGGUUUAAUUCGACGCAACGCGAAGAACCUUACCUGGGCUCGAACGGCUUCUCAACGACGGCAGAAACGCCGUUAUCCCGCAAGGGAGUGGAGUCGAGGUGCUGCAUGGCUGUCGUCAGCUCGUGUCGUGAGAUGUUGGGUUAAGUCCCGCAACGAGCGCAACCCUUGUCCUGUGUUGCUACGCCGAAAGGCAGCACUCUCAGGAGACCGCCAGCGAUAAGUUGGAGGAAGGUGGGGAUGACGUCAAGUCAUCAUGGCCUUUAUGUCCAGGGCUACACACGUGCUACAAUGGGCGGUACAAACCGCUGCAAACCCGCGAGGGGGAGCAAAUCGGAGAAAACCGUUCUCAGUUCGGAUUGCAGGCUGCAACCCGCCUGCAUGAAGCUGGAAUCGCUAGUAAUGGCAUAUCAGAACGAUGCCGUGAAUACGUUCCCGGGCCUUGUACACACCGCCCGU
rnacentral:rRNA from 1 species